UACGAAGGGGGCUAGCGUUGCUCGGAAUUACUGGGCGUAAAGCGCGCGUAGGCGGCUUUGUAAGUUAGAGGUGAAAGCCCGGAGCUCAACUCCGGAACUGCCUUUAAAACUGCAUCGCUUGAAUCUAGGAGAGGUGAGUGGAAUUCCGAGUGUAGAGGUGAAAUUCGUAGAUAUUCGGAAGAACACCAGUGGCGAAGGCGGCUCACUGGUCCGGUACUGACGCUGAGGUGCGAAAGCGUGGGGAGCAAACAGG
rnacentral:rRNA from 1 species